AAUAGCAGCUAUCUGGAUGGAGAGGAAAAUAUUUUCUCAAUUUUGGACAGGAUUCAAAUCGGUGAUUUAUGCUCCUUUUGUCGUAUUGAAAUGGAUUCAUACCGGUGUUCAUAGGCUAGACCGCUCAUUAUCGAUGCCAUUUUGCUUGAUAAAGGCACUCCGUCAGUCAUCAGUAGUACUGAUUUCUUAGUUUCAGGUCUAUGCCAUACUUCUACAUUAGUUAUGCUGGAUGUGAGGAAGUACUCUCAAGAUGAUACGGUGAAUUAAUUGUAUUAGAAGUUCAAGGACACGAUGUUCACAUGUUUGACCGAAAUGAUCACUGUCCAACAGAUAUUAUCUGGAGCCUUUAGCAAGAGUAUAUCGGAAUUUUGAAUCUGAGGAGUAUAUUUUGGACAAUGCUGAAAACAUAUGGUCUUCAAUACGAAAACUUUUCGGAACUUAAAUAAUCUACACAGUUUAUUGAAAGCGAAAGAAAUGCUUAAAAUUUUUACAUAUUCCACACAAAUGUCUUCUAAGCAAUGAGAGCUCCAGAAUUACGUGAUUUCAUAUUUAUAGUAUGUGAAAGGAGAUAAAAGCCUUGACGAUUGACGUUUUCAUAAAUGAACAGCGAUAAAUACUCAUUUGAAUGAUUUCUUGGAAUAAUAGUAUCUAGAACUUUAAAUAUAGCAUCAACUACUUUAUACCAGAAAGUUUUUUUUAUGGAUUUCUUUGCUUCCAUUCAAAAGAGAGAACGUCAUAUAAAACAAGAGGCAAAAAUCGUCUGCAGUCGAUACAAAAGCAUCUCUCUACAAAGAGCAAUUGACAUCAUUUAUUUGCACAAUGGCAUUUCAUAUUUGUCUUGAAUGCCUUUGCAUCUCUUGCAACACAUUCCUUGCAUAUAUCUAGAUAUCCAAGGAAGAACGAUUGACAAAUGAAAUCGAUAAAAGCAUGCCGACCGCUAUCUAUAGUAAUAUAAUUUUCUGGAUUCCAUACACACGCCAUCAAGACACAAAUUCCGUCUGAUGCGGAGGAUGUUCUCUUAAGGUGACAUCGAAAAAUUAGUAAUUAAAAGAUAUUGGCAUGUUUUGACGGAAGGGAUCACGGCACAACAGAACAUCCAGAGCCUUAAUCAAGCGCAUAUUUGAAUUCGGAGUCUUUACAAUUAUGGACGAAGAUCCAACGUACGCAAUUGAGUUUGUAAAAAAUUUAUAAAUAUUGAACCAAGCCCAAAAUAUAAAUUUAUUACUAAAAAUUUAUGAAUAUAUAAAUGUAAAUGUGAUUACGUAUAAGGUCAACAUUAUAUGAGAUUACCAAUACAUCUUUAUCCUAUUUUAAUAACAGGAUAAUGAAUAUUUAGAUAUUUUUGUACAAUACUUUUGACAAGUGCAGAAAUUCUUUAUGAACUUGGUAAAGCUUGAAAUGCUUGGAAUAUUUUCAAUUCAAAACAAGUACUUGGCAUAUCAAUUAUUAUUUAUUGUUUAAAAUUUUUUAUUCGUAUAUCAACUCAACAAAUUUAACAUUAAAAUAUUGGUGUAUAUUAAUUUCUUUCAAACGUGAUAGUUUCUACUUUCUUUUUAAAAAUGCUUAUUUCUAAAAAAUCUAAAUUGGAGAAACAUUGUUUAUAUGCUUAGUUUAAAUUUUAUAGUAUAAUAGAUUUUCUAGUAAUUAAAACUGUUUCUAACAAGACUGAUUCGAUUUUUUUCACUUAAUCCCUUGCCUGCCGCAGGCGUAUAUAUACGUCUGCCUAAGUCAAUGUGUUAACUGCCCCUGUCGUAUAUUUACGUCUCGCAAAUAUAUACAUAUAUAUAUUCGUGGCACUGGGGACCGAAUCUUGUAAGUUAUCCUCGGUAGGCAAGGGGUUAGUUAAAUUCUUAUAUUAAAUCAAUAAGUUAGUUGGCAAGCAGAACUCUCAUUGACCCAGCAAUAAAGGCAGGAAUUGCAACUAUUGCUACAGAACUAUAAUUAUUAUAAAAUAAUAACUAAUUAUUUAACUUUCAUGCGGCAUUCCUCCAUCUUUGUCAGUGGUGAAUGCAUCUUUAUAAUGUUUGAUUUGUUAAGAUUAUUUUUCGUCGCCGAUUGCCGUAACACAACUCUAAAUAUGUGACUAUUUUUAUUAUUGUCAAUCGAUUACUGUUAUUUGCUACGUGUCAUCACAAUUGUUUGCAGUGUAUUUUUCAACUUACCAACAAAUACUAUACAAAUUGUAGUUCUAAGUUUUUGUUUUGUACUGAAUAUCAAUGCUAGUAAGAGCAAUCGCAUUUUCUUUGUGUCGUGAACUUCACUUUAUGAUUAUGAAAUGGGUUGUACUAGUGAUUAUGAAAUCAGAGUACUAUAUUAAAAUAUGCAGAUAAGAUUUCUUUUAUGCUUAAUUUCCUUUAUAUGGUUUUAAGAUCUCUAAAUUUUCAAUCAACAUUAUGGUCUCGAAGCAAACUGGACUCUUAAAACUUGAUAUAAUAAAUACAUGAUACAUAUUUUUAUGUUCACUUUAAAAUAUACCAAGAAAAAGAAAAUCAAGGAAAGGCGGAAUGCCUCUAUACUGUGUGAAAGAUAAAGCAAAAAACUACAUUGUCAACAUACAUGUUUGCCUUCUUAAAGAUUCUUUAAAAUAAUUUAGAAAAUAUUUUAUAAAUAUUCCUCAACCAUAAAUCAAGUGUUUGCGCACAUGUAACUAAUUGUAUUUUGAUUUGAAAAAAUAUUUUAAGCUUAUAUUUUUUAAUUUGAUAAUGCUAGAAUAUUGGAAUCCUAAUUAUUCUAGAACUAUGGGAUACAGUAGAUUGUUUUCUUUGAUUAUCUUUUCAUUAACUUUCACUUCUGAAAAUGUCAUAAAGUGCUCAGCAUUAAUUACUCCGGAAUCGAAAUUUAAAGACGUGGUAUCAAAGCUCAUUAACUUAAAUUUAAUUGCCCUGCUUUCAGAAAAAAUUCACCAUAUUCUAUAGAUAUAUUAAAUUCUGUUUGUUGCAUCCAUUUGAAGUGACUUAUUAAACUAAGAUUUUACUCUCGUUAAAUAUAUUUAAAGUAAUAAAAUUAGUAAUAAUUAUUUUGGAUGGAAAAUUUAGUAUUUAUCUUACAAUAUCUCCUCAUUUCGGCUUUAAAUUUUACUAUGUACAUCCGCGAACAAAGGAUAUUUUGGUUGGCUCGGCCGGCCAGCCAAUCAAAAUAUCCUAUGAUUCUUAAAAAGCAUUGGAUCACUGUGCUUGAUCACCACGGCGAUCAAUAUGCUUUUAAAGAAAAUUGACGCUCUCGCGUGAUUAGUGUGAUUUAAAAUCCAUAAAAAUCUACCCGAAUAAAAUCGCAUUUAUUGAGGGGAAAAAGUGAAUGAAUGCAAUGAAUGUUAAAUGUAGAGUAGAUAAGGGUUUUUUUUUUUUUUUUUUUUUUUUUUCUCAAUAUUACGAGAAAAUUAGAUUCUGAUUUAUCAACUUUCCAGAAGUAUUAAAUUUCCUAAACAUUUUUCCGAAUCAUUUAAAAAAAAAAAAUUCACUUUCACUUA